UACAGGGGGGGCAAGCGUUGUUCGGAAUUACUGGGCGUAAAGGGCGCGUAGGCGGCCUUCUAAGUCGAACGUGAAAUCCCCGGGCUCAACCCGGGAACUGCGUCCGAUACUGGAAGGCUUGAAUCCGGGAGAGGGAUGUGGAAUUCCAGGUGUAGCGGUGAAAUGCGUAGAUAUCGGGAAGAACACCCGUGGCGAAGGCGGCUCUCUGGGACGGUACUGACGCUGAGACGCGAAAGCGUGGGGAGCGAACAGG
rnacentral:rRNA from 1 species